rnacentral:rRNA from 1 species
UACAGAGGUCCCAAGCGUUGUUCGGAUUCACUGGGCGUAAAGGGUGCGUAGGUGGCGCCGUAAGUCAGGUGUGAAAUCUCGGGGCUUAACUCCGAAACUGCAUUUGAUACUGCGGUGCUUUGAGGACUGGAGAGGAGACUGGAAUUUACGGUGUAGCAGUGAAAUGCGUAGAGAUCGUAAGGAAGACCAGUGGCGAAGGCGGGUCUCUGGGCCAUUACUGACACUGAGAAGCGAAAGCAUGGGGAGCGAACAGG